CUCGUAGGCGGUUCGGCAAGUCGGAUGUGAAAUCUCCACGCUCAACGUGGAGGCGCCAUCCGAAACUGCCGUGACUCGAGUCCGGUAGGGGAGUGCGGAAUUCCCGGUGUAGCGGUGAAAUGCGCAGAUAUCGGGAGGAACACCAGUGGCGAAGGCGGCACUCUGGGCCGGAACUGACGCUGAGGAGCGAAAGCGUGGGGAGCGAACA
rnacentral:rRNA from 1 species